AUUUAAAUAGUUUAAGAAAAAUUUUGAUUUGUGGUAUCAAAGAUAUAGGAAAUAUAUUUUAAAUC
rnacentral:tRNA from 1 species